rnacentral:lncRNA from 1 species
CCUGGAGGUCGGACCCUGGACCCAUGCAGCCAGGCUCCAUUAAGUGACAUGGGGACCUCUCUUUAGGUCGGGGUCAGUGGGUCUCUUUUGCAGGACAAGGAGGCCUAUCCAUCAGGGAGGAAGGCAAGCUUUGAGAGGAAGGAUGGUGGACAAUGAGGAGAAUGCUGUGGAAGGAGCACUUCAGGAAGGCCUUUGGCAAGGUCUCACAAAGAACGGAACAAAAUGUGGGCUGGACGUGGAUUUGUCAUAACAACCUCCCAAGCCUUUCACUAUUUAUUUGUUAAUGUAUAUGUUUGCUAACCUGCAUUCUAUGCAUAUGUUGAUAAAGUUGACAAAGCCAAUGUGGUUCUGGGCUGCAUCCAUUGGAGCCUAGUGUCAAGAUCAAGGGAAGUCCUAUUCCGCUUCGGUCAGACCUCCCCUGGAAUAAGCUGUGUCCAGUUUGAGGCCAAGUAAUUGAGAAAGGACCGAAAGGUGCCAGGUUCAAAUCCCGGGAGUGGAAUGAGUGCUCACUGUUAGCCCCAGCUCCUGCCAACCUAGCAGUUCGAAAACAUGCCAAUGUGAGUAGAUCAAUAGGUACUGCUCCGGCGGGAAGGUAACGGUGCUCCAUGCAGUCAUGCCGGCCACAUGACCUUGGAGGUGUCUAUGGACAACGCUGGCUCUUUGGCUUAGAAAUGAGCACCAACCCCCAGAGUUGGUCACGACUGGACUUAAUGUCAGGGGAAACCUUUACCUUUACCUUUAAUUGAGGAAGGAGGUGGGCAAGAUGGGAGGGGUCCAGAGAAGGGCAGAGGCUGCAUGGCCAUCUGUCGGGAGGGCUUGGACUGCGCCUUCCUGCCUGGCUGAAAGAGGCUCCUCACUGGAUCCAACACCAAGGAGAGGAUGCAUAGCUUUAUGCACAAGAUGUUGUGCAGUGGUUUCACAGUGCUGCCUUGUUGGCAGGUUGCAGCAUUGCACAAAUGGGCGUGCAAACAAAGCACCUGUGCGCCUGGACACUCAAGGCAUGGCAGGAACCAGAUUUCCAGCAAAGACUUUUAACGUUCUUCUCACACAUCUUCAACAUCUGCCACCGAUACAUCAUUUUGCGAAAGCUCUCUUUAAGGUCAACGCUUUGGACCGCAAUAUAUGUAGUGUAUCAAAAUAGCAUAUGGAUCUAAUAAAUGAACAACUGCUGAUCCUUCCAGAAACUGCCUUAUUGCAUAGAAUUGAACAUGAAAGGCUUCCAUUGCAGCUUCUAUUAAGAAAAAGAUAUUCUGCCGAGUAUUAGUUCAACGCUGAUGUCCUUGUAGGCUUCACUUUUCAUUAUGGCUUAUGGAGUGUUGAUGUUAGAUAAUAGAGCGGGGAAAGUGGGUUGCUGCAAUGUUGUUCCUCUUUGCAUCAGUCUUAAUGCAAGGGAGAGGUAGCCCUCCUCCUCCUCUUUCUCUCUCUCUCUCUCUCUCUCUCUCUCUCUCUCUCUCUCUCUCUCUCUCUCUCUCUCUCUCCUUCUCCUCCUUUAGUUUUUCUCUCAUCCUGCAGCCUCUGAAGAACCUGUCAGGAGAAGAGGUAGAGAUGAAGGCAGAUGCAGGGGUUUCCAAGGAAAGAAGUGCAAGGUUUUCAGUCGCAUUUCCCAUCUGAAGUGAAGUCCUGGCGAAUGUCACAAAAAGAGAACGACAAUGACAGCAGUGUUGUAGCCCAGCAUCAGUCACAGAAGGCCUGGGUUGAUGGGUUCCUUGAUGACUUAGAGUCAGGUGGGAUUGUGGGCUUUCCUGGGAUUCAUUCUGAUGCACAGCCAGAGAGAGAAACUGAUUUAGAGAGAGAGACGGGCACAGAUGCAGGGCCUGAGAAUGUAAUUGCCUUUGAACUUCAAGGCCUUCAAGACCAGUCAUAGGAGAUGGAAUCAUCCUCUCCAGAUAAUGAGUCUAGCCAAGAUAAAUGGAUGAGAAAUUCUCAGAGGAACACACAUGGUGACAUGGACCUAAGCCAGGAGGCUCACCUGCAGAUUUGAGCAGAUAGCCAGCUCCGUAGAGAAGCAAAAGUUCCAGGGUAGACAUAAUGCUUUCAUGUCUGUUUAUUAAGGCCUAACAGACCCUCUGCUCUUCAGUUCAGGCAACGUGGUUUUGAAGUUACACCCAGGCCUGGGUUCUCUGGUUCUUGUCUUGGUUCUGGGAUUCAAGUAUUCUGAGAGUUUUUCUGUGUUCAUGUUGCGUAUCCUUGUUCAAGUUUUGCUUAUGGAUUUACAAAAGACAUUUGAUUAAUGACUUUCUGGAUUUUACACCUUCUUUCCUUAUCCCCGCUUUUUACUAUAUAUCUUAUAAUAAACUGUUUGCCUUUACCCUGGACUCUUGUGUGAUCUCUGGUCAUAGGUGGCUUCAGGUCUGGAGCACAACACUCAGGGCCUUUGCGAUUCCCACCUCCCUCAAAGGCCAUCUAGCCCAACCCCCUCCUGUCAUGAAGGAAUACAAAGCUAAAGCUCUUCCUAGAGAUGCCCAUUCAAUCUCUGCUUAAAGACUUCCAAUAAAGAGGCAACUGCUCCCUUGAGGGCAGUUCAUUCCAAGCUCAAACAGCCCAUUCCAUCAAGAAGGUCUUCCUCACAUUGGCCCAGAAUUGCCUUGCAAUUUUAAGUUGUUAUAUUGGUUCCUACCUUCUGGACCAAGAGAAUCCUAGCUUGACAUCAAUUCAAGAUGUCUGCAGUGUUGCAUCUCUCAUCUUCCUCAAACUGCGGCUGUGAUAACACUAUGUAACAAAAUUUGAAAAAAAAAUCUGUUUCUGGUUUGAAAGUGUUAUUUCCUGUUUAAUUGUGUGGUCCUUGCUUGGAAAGUAUUUGUUAAAUGCCAGAAACUUCAUCUUUGUGGCUGCCACUAACUAGGUGGAAUUGGUGGAGACCCAAUGAUAAGAGAUUCAUUGAUAAAUUAUUGCAAAAUGUGCUGUGG